GACGAACGCUGGCGGCGUGCUUAACACAUGCAAGUCGAACGGAAAGGCCCUGCUUUUGUGGGGUGCUCGAGUGGCGAACGGGUGAGUAACACGUGAGUAACCUGCCCUUGACUUUGGGAUAACUUCAGGAAACUGGGGCUAAUACCGGAUAGGAGCUCCUGCUGCAUGGUGGGGGUUGGAAAGUUUCGGCGGUUGGGGAUGGACUCGCGGCUUAUCAGCUUGUUCGUGGGGUAGUGGCUUACCAAGGGUUUGACGGGUAGCCGGCCUGAGAGGGUGACCGGCCCCAAGGGCAGUGAGAAACGGGCAAGAGUACUAAGGGAGGAAGCAGGAGGGACGUGGCCGCAAGGGGGGAAAGGGUGACGGAGGAACGCCGCGUGAGUGAGGACGGUCGUAGGAGAGGAAAAGUGAGUUAUGAGGGAAGAAAAAAUGUGUAAGUAACUAGGCACGGCUUGACGGGACCUAAUCAGAAAGCCAAGGCUAACUACGUG
rnacentral:rRNA from 1 species